UACAUGUGGGGCAAGCGUUGUUCGGAAUUACUGGGCAUAAAGGGUGCGUAGGCGGGCAGGUAAGUCAGUGGUGAAAUCUCCGGGCUUAACCCGGAAACUGCCGUUGAUACUAUCUGUCUUGAAUAUCGUGGAGGUAAGCGGAAUAUGUCAUGUAGCGGUGAAAUGCUUAGAUAUGACAUAGAACACCCAUUGCGAAGGCAGCUUACUACACGAUCAUUGACGCUGAGGCACGAAAGCGUGGGGAGCAAACAGG
rnacentral:rRNA from 1 species